CAGUGAUAAACAUUAGGACUGAACAUAUGUUCACCCUUUCCAUUUUGAAGGCAUAAAAGCAGCACACCAGGAAAGGAGAAAAGAAUAUGUCCGAGAACAUGCCCUAUCUCAUGAUGAGAACACUUAACAUUAUUUCAGGCACUUCAUCAACUGACAAAAGAAAAACCUCAGUAGGUACGCCUCUUCAAAAAUCUGGGACAACUUGCAUGUAAUUUCAAGAAGCAGCAGGGAUACCCAGCUGGAGAAAAAUAAUAAUAAAAUGGCUUCCUGUAAUUGAAAAAUGUUUGAAAGCUUUCUUUCCCCCCGUGUGAUUAAAUGAAAUUUGUUACUUGAA